GAGUGGCGGACGGGUGCGUAACGCGUAGGAAUCUGCCUAUUAGUGGGGGACAACUUAGGGAAACCUAAGCUAAUACCGCAUACGCCCUACGGGGGAAAGGAGGGGACCUUCGGGCCUUUCGCUAAUAGAUGAGCCUGCGUUGGAUUAGCUAGUUGGUGGGGUAAAGGCCUACCAAGGCGACGAUCCAUAGCUGGUCUGAGAGGACGAUCAGCCACACUGGGACUGAGACACGGCCCAGACUCCUACGGGAGGCAGCAGUGGGGAAUAUUGGACAAUGGGCGAAAGCCUGAUCCAGCAAUACCGCGUGUGUGAAGAAGGCCUUAGGGUUGUAAAGCACUUUCAAUUGGAAGGAAAAACUCAUGGCCAAUACCCAUGAGCUUGACAUUACCUUUAGAAGAAGCACCGGCUAACUCCGUGCCAGCAGCCGCGGUAAUACGGAGGGUGCGAGCGUUAAUCGGAAUUACUGGGCGUAAAGCGUGCGUAGGCGGCUCGUUAAGUCAGAUGUGAAAGCCCUGGGCUCAACCUGGGAACGGCAUUUGAAACUGGCGAGCUAGAGUUUGGGAGAGGAGAGUGGAAUUUCAGGUGUAGCGGUGAAAUGCGUAGAGAUCUGAAGGAACACCAGUGGCGAAGGCGACUCUCUGGCCUAAAACUGACGCUGAGGUACGAAAGCGUGGGUAGCAAACAGGAUUAGAUACCCUGGUAGUCCACGCCGUAAACGAUGUCAACUAGCCGUUGGCUCUCUUAGAGAGUUAGUGGCGCAGCUAACGCAUUAAGUUGACCGCCUGGGGAGUACGGCCGCAAGGUUAAAACUCAAAUGAAUUGACGGGGGCCCGCACAAGCG
rnacentral:rRNA from 1 species